CCUACGGGUGGCAGCAGUGAGGAAUAUUGGUCAAUGGACGAGAGUCUGAACCAGCCAAGUAGCGUGAAGGAUGACUGCCCUAUGGGUUGUAAACUUCUUUUAUAAAGGAAUAAAACGAGGCACGUGUGCCUUCUUGCUUGUACUUUAUGAAUAAGGAUCGGCUAACUCCGUGCCAGCAGCCGCGGUAAUACGGAGGAUCCGAGCGUUAUCCGGAUUUAUUGGGUUUAAAGGGAGCGUAGAUGGGUUGUUAAGUCAGUUGUGAAAGUUUGCGGCUCAACCGUAAAAUUGCAAUUGAUACUGGCAGUCUUGAGUACAGUUGAGGUAAGCGGAAUUCGUGGUGUAGCGGUGGAAUGCUUAGAUAUCACGAAGAACCCCGGUUGCGAAGGCAGCUUACUAAACUGUGACUGACAUUGAUGCUCGAAAGUGUGGGUAUCAAACAGGAUUAGAUACCCUAGUAGUC
rnacentral:rRNA from 1 species